rnacentral:sRNA from 1 species
UGAAAAAGGUUUUCCAGUUAUGCGCAUA